rnacentral:tRNA from 1 species
GUCUCUGUGGUCUAGUGGUCAAGGCACCGGCGUUCCAAGCUGGGGCCCCGGGUUCGAUUCCUGGCAGAGACA